rnacentral:rRNA from 1 species
UACAGAGGGUGCAAGCGUUGUUCGGAAUUAUUGGGCGUAAAGCGCGUGUAGGCGGCUUUGUAAGUUGGGUGUGAAAGCCCUCGGCUUAACCGAGGAAGUGCGCCCAAAACUGCAUGGUUUGAGUACCGGAGAGGGUGGCGGAAUUCCCGGUGUAGAGGUGAAAUUCGUAGAUAUCGGGAGGAACACCAGCGGCGAAGGCGGCCA